GAUGAACGCUAGCUACAGGCUUAACACAUGCAAGUCGAGGGGUAACGAGAGGAAAGCUUGCUUUCCUUGUCGACGACCGGCGCACGGGUGAGUAACGCGUAUCCAACCUGCCCCCAACUAGGGAAUAACCUUGCGAAAGUAAGACUAAUACCCUAUAAUUUCCUCAGAUGACAUCUGACGAGGAAUAAAGAUUUAUCGGUUGUGGAUGGGGAUGCGUCUGAUUAGCUUGUUGGCGGGGUAACGGCCCACCAAGGCAACGAUCAGUAGGGGUUCUGAGAGGAAGGUCCCGCACAUUGGAACUGAGACACGGUCCAAACUCCUACGGGAGGCAGCAGUGAGGAAUAUUGGUCAAUGGGCGGAAGCCUGAACCAGCCAAGUAGCGUGCAGGAUGACGGCCCUAUGGGUUGUAAACUGCUUUUAUACAGGAAUAAAGUUAGCCACGUGUGGUUAUUUGUAGGUACUGUAUGAAUAAGGACCGGCUGAUUCCGUGCCAGCCGCCGCGGUAA
rnacentral:rRNA from 1 species